rnacentral:misc_RNA from 1 species
AACACUGUUAACCUGCGGUACCUGCGGAAGGAUCAUUACACAAUAAACAUAUGAAGGCUGCACCGCCAACAGGCGGCAAGGCUGGAGUAUUUUAUUACCCUUGUCUUUUGCGCACUUGUUGUUUCCUGGGCGGGUUCGCCCGCCUCCAGGACCACAUGAUAAACCUUUUUUAUGCAGUUGCAAUCAGCGUCAGUACAACAAAUGUAAAUCAUUUACAACUUUUAACAAUGGAUCUCAGAU